rnacentral:rRNA from 1 species
ACAGGGAGGUAGUGACAAGAAAUAACAAUACAGGAUUUUUUGGUUUUGUAAUUGGAAUGAGUUAAGUAUAAACCCCUUUACAAGUAUCAAUUGGAGGGCAAGUCUGGUGCCAGCAGCCGCGGUAAUUCCAGCUCCAAUAGCGUAUAUUAAAGUUGUUGCAGUUAAAAAGCUCGUAGUUGGAUUUCUGUUAAUAAUUUAUAUAAAAUAUUUUGAUGAAUAUUUAUAUAAUAUUAACAUAAUUCAUAUUACUAUAUAUUUUAGUAUAUGAAAUUUUACUUUGAGAAAAUUAGAGUGCUUAAAGCAGGCAUAUGCCUUGAAUACUCCAGCAUGGAAUAAUAUUAAAGAUUUUUAUCUUUCUUAUUGGUUCUAAGAUAAGAAUAAUGAUUAAUAGGGACAGUUGGGGGCAUUUGUAUUUAACAGUCAGAGGUGAAAUUCUUAGAUUUGUUAAAGACAAACUAAUGCGAAAGCAUUUGCCAAGGAUGUUUUCAUUAAUCAAGAACGAAAGUUAGGGGAUCGAAGACGAUCAGAUACCGUCGUAGUCUUAACCAUAAACUAUGCCAACUAGAGAUUGGAGGUUGUUCCUUACUCCUU